GCAUUCAUUCCUAUCCAUCCUUUUCAGACACCCGUCACUCUAUCACUCUCCGUUUUGCAGCGGCGAUUUCCAAUGUGCGUAUCUUCCCGUAUUUCCAUCUCCGUUUCGGAUACACUUUAUCUACCCAUCUUUCGCUCCCUCUCUCUCAUUCUUGUUUCCUCUAUACCUAUGCACGGUCGGGUUAUCUCUGUCUAUCUCUCGGUUUCCCUCCCUCGUAAAUUCGUCCGUCUCUGUUCGAGCUCCAUCCUUGUCCCUCCAUCUCGUAGGAAUCCCCCUCGCUCUCUUGUUUACUCUUCCUACCUCUCCUUCGUUCUCCGCACUCCAGUUUGCCUCCGCACGCACUCGCGCACGCACGCACUCACACGCACUCGCGCACUCACACAGGCGCGCGCGCUCACGCGUACACACACGUGGUGCGCCUCUCGUGAAGAGAGUACAAAACAAGUCAAUACGAAUGGCUAGCAACACUGGCGCGAUCGAGCAAUGUGAAUGUGCCGUGUGUAUAUUGUGACAGAUUUGAUAGAAAUUGUCUGACGAGGCUAAUUAGAAGCGCGAAAUUCAUAGAUUGAAUGUACAAUGUUUGGCACAAACGUCGACGAGACCGCGAAAGCAUAUCGAUAAUAAUGCGCGCUGAUGUGGUCCAUUUAGGUAUUAACCUCGAGCAUAAUAUUUAUCCGACCGCUCUAAGUAAUAAAUCCUCUUUGUGAUUAAUAUAUCGAGGAUUAUUUCAGAAAAAAGAGCGCGCAAGCGCUCACCGUUCGACGUUUUUGUAAGCCCCGGAUUUACAUUUUUCAUUAAUACGCGCUCAGUCAUUAAUUAUGCAUGCCUACAUAAAAUUAAUUUUUUUUUAACGUAGCUCGUAACUCAUAAAAAUUGUGUUAUGAAAUAUCAGCGUAAUUAAAUCGUAAAAUGUUUCGAUAUAGUCGUAGUAUAUAUGACUGUAUGUAGCUGUAGGUUAUAAUAUACGAUACUUUUAAUUAAUAUAUCUCUUGUUACUUAUUUUU